AGGACUCUAUAAAAGGCCUGUGUGCCUUUUGGCUCUUGCUUGAUUGUAAGGAGAAGAUCAAUAAAGAGAUUACUUGUUCAUCAUGUGUCUUCGUUGAAUGCCUAGGAACCGAAUACAUAAAACUGGCGACAAAGGUGGGAUCCCUGCAAGCAAAAGAAACAAAUAGGACUCACUGAGAAAGUCCUGAAGACUGGGAAGACGGUGUCCUGCAUUCGCGACUCAGCCUGCCAGUAUAGCAUCGCUGGAGGUGUGAAACCCAAAGGGGUCCUCUUCUGCCCAUUUCCUGUGUGAAGAUUGGCUUCUUCAAACCAGGUUCCCAUAUCUUGCCAACCUUCUGUCCAACAAAUGUUCCUGCUUGGUAGAAAAAAUGGAUCCAUUUCAUAAACUGAUAGGCCAUUACAGCUUGUUCAACAAUUAGUUCUUAAGCACGACAUGUAAACACUGAAGAACAAGAGGAGAAAAUGGAAAACCAGGUGCCCUUUGGCGAAACAAGAAAUCUAGAGGUUUUUGGAAUGAUAAGUUUUUACAUUGUGACUUAAGUUUGUCCAGUACCUAUUCACUCCUGAGACCAAGGGUCUCUACUUUCUCCCAUCAGCAAAAUCAGAGGCCUGUGUAAGCUACACGAGGAGCCAGAAAAAGAAAUGUCUCCACCUGAUAAAUUGUUAGUCGUGAAUAUACACAAUUAAUCUGAUUUGUUUUAACUGGCAGAUUUAACAUUUAAGACGUUUAUGCAUGUGAAAGCUUGGUCCAAGAGAUUUUGUUCCACCCAAGUCAAAUUGCAUAAUGAUCAAGUUAUUAAAAAAAGAAAAAAACCCAACCCACAAAUGUCUUUUUUUAAAAAAAAAUCCUUGGUGUAAAAUAACAUAAUAACUAAUUGCUAAUUAGCUACCCUUUACUAAUGCCCCAUAUUCACUAUCUGGGAAUUAGUUCAUUCUGCCCCAUGGUUGAACUGACUCCACUGUGUGCAGGACCCUUUUCAUGCUU